rnacentral:lncRNA from 10 species
UUUGGAGAUAUUGAAUCAUGUUACCAUUUCUGUUUUUUUCCACCCUGUUUUCUUCCAUAUUUACUGAAGCUCAGAAGCAGUAUUGGGUCUGCAACUCAUCCGAUGCAAGUAUUUCAUACACCUACUGUGAUAAAAUGCAAUACCCAAUUUCAAUUAAUGUUAACCCCUGUAUAGAAUUGAAAAGAUCCAAAGGAUUAUUGCACAUUUUCUACAUUCCAAGGAGAGAUUUAAAGCAAUUAUAUUUCAAUCUCUAUAUAACUGUCAACACCAUGAAUCUUCCAAAGCGCAAAGAAGUUAUUUGCCGAGGAUCUGAUGACGAUUACUCUUUUUGCAGAGCUCUGAAGGGAGAGACUGUGAAUACAACAAUAUCAUUCUCCUUCAAGGGAAUAAAAUUUUCUAAGGAAGAAGAAGUAAAAACUAAAAGGCAGAAAUGAAAUCCACAGGCAGACAGCCCGGCGUGCUGCGCCCUGGGCCUGGUAAAGAUCAACCCCUGACCGAUUCCAGACAUUGUAUGGAAAAGCAUUGUGAAAAUCCCUGUCCUGUUCUGUUCUGAUUACCUGUGCUUGCAGCCCCCUGUUACGUACCCCCUGCUUGCUCAAUCGAUCACGACCCUCUUACGCGGACCCCCUUAGAGUUGUAAGCCCUUAAAAGGGACAGGAAUUGCUCAGUCGGAGAGCUCGGUUUUUGGAGACGUGAGUCUGCCCGGUGCUUCCAGCUGAAUAAAGCCCUUUCCUUCCAC